ACACCACAAACACACGCAUCAAACGCAAACGACGCCGCACACGCACACUCACAGUAGCACCACACCAAGUUCCCACCAUGGUGCACACGUCGGGAGCGCGCGGGGACACACACGCCACUCACUCCAACCCGCAGUUAACCCUUUCAGCCCUGGGCGCAGGAACCCCCUCCCUAGAGCCGGAGAAGACUUGGAGGCAGCGGGGAGGCCAGUUCUCAGAGAAGAAAUCUGAUGGAUUCAGCUGACCCUACCAGGACAAGCUAUUUCAUGCUUCACUACCAGCCAACGAAUUGAUUCUUCCUAUAUCAAGUGACUAUGCAUGGUCCAAUUACUUCUGAAUGUUACUGUCUGUGGCAGCCAGUGGACAAUCUUCCAGAGACUCCUGCCAUACUCUGCAAUUAUAUAUGUCAUUUGGGCACUAAAUCUGGCCACAUGACUGCUCCUGCAUCUGGCAUGCCCCUGUACAUCCUGACCCUAGUGAUAUCCAAAUAUUGGCCACGCUAGGCAUGGCUAUAAUGAAGAGAAGAAAGAAAAUGAUGACAGAGAAGAAAAAUAACCUGUUCUGAAUUUUAACCUGAGUUCCAGGUCCUGUGCUAAUGGCUUCAUAGAGAUGAAUGAGACAUGGAGCCUCCUGUGCGGAGCUCACAACACGAUCAUGAUGUGGUAAGGGUUUUGGAAAAGAGCCACAACACAGAAGCCGAGACAUUUUGUUCUACUGAUAGGAUCAGCUAAGACUUCACGGGACAGAUGGCAGUUGAUCUGGGCCUUCAAGGGUGACCCAUGCAUGUGACCAGUCAUUCACUUUGUCAUUCAUUCAUUCAUCCAUAGUUCAAGUACCAAUUUUGUGUUGGGCUUUUGUCUAAGCACUGGGCAUACAGAGAUAAUUAAACUUUAUAUAUCCAUUCACACAGCCUGAUGGUGGGGAGGGGAACACACAAAUGACUAUUAUAAACAGUAUCACAUAAUGAUGGCAGAAAUUAGUUAUAUUCAAGGUGCAAUUGGAUCAUUCAUGGAAAACAUAUCCAAGUCUGCAUGUGAGGAUUAAGAGACUUGUCAUGGUAAAACAUGAGUUAAAUUAAUAUUAAAAUAAGUCAUUCACCAA